GUGCCAGCAGCCGCGGUAAUACCGGCAGCCCAAGUGAUGGCCACUCUUAUUGGGCCUAAAGCGUCCGUAGCCGGCCUCGCAAGUCCGUCGGGAAAUCCAGUAGCUCAACUACUGGGCGUCCGGCGGAAACUACAAGGCUUGGGGCCGGAGGACCCGAGGGGUACGUUCGGGGUAGGAGUGAAAUCCCAUAAUCCCGCACGGACCACCGAUGGCGAAAGCACUUCGAGAAAACGGAUCCGACAGUGAGGGACGAAAGCCAGGGUCUCCAACCGGAUUAGAAACCCGAGUAGUCC
rnacentral:rRNA from 1 species